UCCGGUGUAGCUCAACGGUAGAGCGACUCCCUGUUAAGGAGUGGGUUGUAGGUUCGAAUCCUACCACCGGAGCCA
rnacentral:tRNA from 2 species